CUCAUGACUGGGCAAUCACACUCCAGGAUGUAUCUGGAUCUGGAGACAUGUGGAACCCUCCAGCCAGGUUAUGGAGGAAGAUCCCUGCUCAGCAAGUCUGGCAACUCAACACCCAGCACUAAUUAAGAAAAAGCAACUGAAUUUCCAAACGGGAGCUGCAAUGUUGGCUGAGUGUACGCAGCAGCAGAACCAAUCCCAUCCCUGCCAAGACCCAGGAUUCUGAACUUCAGAAGAAACUAAGUAAUUCUUGCUGUGCGGACAUUCAACCCUGGUCCUAGGACAGAAGGGAGGAGCCAAGCUGACAGGAUUGCUGUGUUCUCUGCAAGAAUCAGUUGCCCAAGAUGCAGCUGUCACCUGAUUAUAAAUCUCCUAACACCUGGGGAGCAAGGCACAGGCCAUGGAUGAAGAUUUUCCCGGGUGGGGACACAAACAGGCUGAGCCUCUCCUGUUCUCCCUGGUCUAUCAACCUCACAGGCAGAAGAGGAAAUGGAGAGUCUGUCAGCAGCCAGGAAAAGGAAACCUAAGGCAGAUCAUGGCUGAGCAGAUGUAGAAGAGCCUAGACAAUUCAGUCACUGCAGGGUGAGGGCUGCUGGAUCACUGGGGAAGGUACUGGUCUGGCUUCUGAGUACUUGGGACAGG
ensembl:lncRNA